rnacentral:rRNA from 1 species
GGGGCCUAUACAUGCAAGUCGAGCGGACAGAUGGGAGCUUGCUCCCUGAUGUUAGCGGCGGACGGGUGAGUAACACGUGGGUAACCUGCCUGUAAGACUGGGAUAACUCCGGGAAACCGGGGCUAAUACCGGAUGGUUGUUUGAACCGCAUGGUUCAAACAUAAAAGGUGGCUUCGGCUACCACUUACAGAUGGACCCGCGGCGCAUUAGCUAGUUGGUGAGGUAACGGCUCACCAAGGCGACGAUGCGUAGCCGACCUGAGAGGGUGAUCGGCCACACUGGGACUGAGACACGGCCCAGACUCCUACGGGAGGCAGCAGUAGGGAAUCUUCCGCAAUGGACGAAAGUCUGACGGAGCAACGCCGCGUGAGUGAUGAAGGUUUUCGGAUCGUAAAGCUCUGUUGUUAGGGAAGAACAAGUACCGUUCGAAUAGGGCGGUACCUUGACGGUACCUAACCAGAAAGCCACGGCUAACUACGUGCCAGCAGCCGCGGUAAUACGUAGGUGGCAAGCGUUGUCCGGAAUUAUUGGGCGUAAAGGGCUCGCAGGCGGUUUCUUAAGUCUGAUGUGAAAGCCCCCGGCUCAACCGGGGAGGGUCAUUGGAAACUGGGGAACUUGAGUGCCGAAGAGGAGAGUGGAAUUCCACGUGUAUCGGUGAAAUGCGUAUAUAU